rnacentral:rRNA from 1 species
UACAGGCUUAACACAUGCAAGUCGAGGGGCAGCAUUUUAGUUUGCUUGCAAACUGAAGAUGGCGACCGGCGCACGGGUGAGUAACACGUAUCCAACCUGCCGAUAACUCCGGGAUAGCCUUUCGAAAGAAAGAUUAAUACCGGAUAGUAUACGAAUAUCGCAUGAUAUUUUUAUUAAAGAAUUUCGGUUAUCGAUGGGGAUGCGUUCCAUUAGUUUGUUGGCGGGGUAACGGCCCACCAAGACUACGAUGGAUAGGGGUUCUGAGAGGAAGGUCCCCCACAUUGGAACUGACACACGGUCCAAACUCCUACGGGAGGCAGCAGUGAGGAAUAUUGGUCAAUGGGCGCGAGCCUGAACCAACCAAGUAGCGUGAAGGAUGAAGGCUCUAUGGGUCGUAAACUUCUUUUAUAUGGGAAUAAAGUUUUCCACGUGUGGAAUUUUGUAUGUACCAUAUGAAUAAGGAUCGGCUAACUCCGUGCCAGCAGCCGCGGUAAUACGGAGGAUCCGAGCGUUAUCCGGAUUUAUUGGGUUUAAAGGGAGCGUAGGUGGAUUGUUAAGUCAGUUGUGAAAGUUUGCGGCUCAACCGUAAAAUUGCAAUUGAAACUGGCAGUCUUGAGUACAGUAGAGGUGGGCGGAAUUCGUGGUGUAGCGGUGAAAUGCUUAGAUAUCACGAAGAACUCCGAUUGCGAAGGCAGCUCACUAGACUGUCACUGACACUGAUGCUCGAAAGUGUGGGUAUCAAACAGGAUUAGAUACCCUGGUAGUCCACACAGUAAACGAUGAAUACUCGCUGUUUGCGAUAUACAGUAAGCGGCCAAGCGAAAGCAUUAAGUAUUCCACCUGGGGAGUACGCCGGCAACGGUGAAACUCAAAGGAAUUGACGGGGGCCCGCACAAGCGGAGGAACAUGUGGUUUAAUUCGAUGAUACGCGAGGAACCUUACCCGGGCUUAAAUUGCAACAGAAUAUAUUGGAAACAGUAUAGCCGUAAGGCUGUUGUGAAGGUGCUGCAUGGUUGUCGUCAGCUCGUGCCGUGAGGUGUCGGCUUAAGUGCCAUAACGAGCGCAACCCUUAUCUUUAGUUACUAACAGGUUAUGCUGAGGACUCUAGAGAGACUGCCGUCGUAAGAUGUGAGGAAGGUGGGGAUGACGUCAAAUCAGCACGGCCCUUACGUCCGGGGCUACACACGUGUUACAAUGGGGGGUACAGAAGGCGGCUACCUGGUGACAGGAUGCUAAUCCCAAAAACCUCUCUCAGUUCGGAUCGAAGUCUGCAACCCGACUUCGUGAAGCUGGAUUCGCUAGUAAUCGCGCAUCAGCCAUGGCGCGGUGAAUACGUUCCCGGGCCUUGUACACACCGCCCGUCAAGCCAUGAAAGCCGGGGGUACCUGAAGUACGUAACCGCAAGGAGCGUCCUAGGGUAAAACUGGUAAUUGGGGCUAAG